ACUCAAAUGAAUUGACGGGGACCCGCACAAGCGGAGGAUGAUGUGGUUUAAUUUGACGAUACGCGAAGAACCUUACCCAGGCUUGACAUCCUAGGAAUCCUUGAGAAAUCAGGGAGUGCCUUCGGGAGCCUAGUGACAGGUGCUGCAUGGCCGUCGUCAGCUCGUGUCGUGAGAUGUUGGGUUAAGUCCCGCAACGAGCGCAACCCUUGUCGUAUGUUGUAUUUUUCAUGCGAGACUGCCCGAGCCAAUCGGGAGGAAGGCGGGGAUGAGGUCAGGUCAGCAUGGCCCUUACGCCUGGGGCUACACACGUCAUACAAUGGCCGGUACAAUGCGCCGCGAAGCCGCGAGGCGAAGCUAAUCGCACCAAAACCGGUCCCAGUUCGGAUUGCAGGCUGCAACUCGCCUGCAUGAAGUCGGAUUCGCUAGUAACCGUAAGUCAGCAUAUUACGGUGAAUACGUUCCCGGGUCUUGUACACACCGCCCGU
rnacentral:rRNA from 1 species